AUUGAACGCUGGCGGCAGGCUUAACACAUGCAAGUCGAGCGGAGAUGAGGUGCUUGCACCUUAUCUUAGCGGCGGACGGGUGAGUAAUGCUUAGGAAUCUGCCUAUUAGUGGGGGACAACAUUCCGAAAGGAAUGCUAAUACCGCAUACGUCCUACGGGAGAAAGCAGGGGAUCUUCGGACCUUGCGCUAACAGAUGAGCCUAAGCCGGAUUAGCUAGUUGGUGGGGUAAAGGCCUACCAAGGCGACGAUCUGUAGCGGGUCUGAGAGGAUGAUCCGCCACACUGGGACUGAGACACGGCCCAGACUCCUACGGGAGGCAGCAGUGGGGAAUAUUGGACAAUGGGGGGAACCCUGAUCCAGCCAUGCCGCGUGUGUGAAGAAGGCCUUAUGGUUGUAAAGCACUUUAAGCGAGGAGGAGGCUACUGAGACUAAUACUCUUGGAUAGUGGACGUUACUCGCAGAAUAAGCACCGGCUAACUCUGUGCCAGCCGCCGCAGUAAAAC
rnacentral:rRNA from 1 species